rnacentral:misc_RNA from 1 species
UCCGGUUUGGCACCGGCAGUCCCCCGCGAGUCCUCAGCGCCUUGCGGCCUGUUAGCAACACGGGGCGGGGGUUGCGCUCGUUGCGGGACUUAACCCAACAUCUCACGACACGAGCUGACGACAGCCAUGCAGCACCUGUGUUACGGCUCCCUUUCGGGCACGCCCACAUCUCUGCGGGCUUCCGUACAAGUCAAGGGUAGGUAAGGUUCUUCGCGUUGCAUCGAAUUAAUCCGCAUGCUCCACCGCUUGUGCGGGCCCCCGUCAAUUCCUUUGAGUUUCAGCCUUGCGGCCGUACUCCCCAGGCGGGGCACUUAACGCGUUAGCUGCGGCACCGAAGGGGUCGUUCCCCCCGGCACCUAGUGCCCAUCGUUUACGGCGUGGACUAC